rnacentral:rRNA from 1 species
UCGAGGAUCUUCGGCAAUGUGCGAAAGCAUGACCGAGCGACGCCGCGUGUGCGACGAAGGCCUUCGGGUUGUAAAGCACUGUCGAGGGGAGGAAAGCCGAAAGGUCUGACCUAUCCCUGGAGGAAGCACGGGCUAAGUUCGUGCCAGCAGCCGCGGUAAGACGAACCGUGCGAACGUUGUUCGGAAUCACUGGGCAUAAAGGGCGCGUAGGCGGGCCGAUAAGUCAGGGGUGAAAUCCUCCAGCUUAACUGGAGAACUGCCUUUGAUACUGACGGCCUCGAGUAAGGUAGGGGCAUGCGGAACUGAUGGUGGAGCGGUGAAAUGUGUUGAUAUCAUCAGGAACUCCGGUGGCGAAAGCGGCAUGCUGGACCUUUACUGACGCUGAGGCGCGAAAGCUAGGGGAGCAAACGGGAUUAGAUACCCUUGUAGUCCCUGAGCGGGCUGGCAAGGCGCAU